CGGAGUAUGACGCUAACCUGGGGAAGGGAUGGAAAAGGAUGCUGUUGCAGAGGAGAUGAAUGAAAUCAAUGGAGUGACCUGGUGGAACAAGGCAGGCAAAGGUCCUCAGAGAGCAAAACAGAACUGUGUAUGUUGAGGACAUGGAAAAGAGGUGCUACGUGAAGAGGUCUUGGGGUUUUUCCAGGACUACUAUGGUGAACAAUGCAUAUCAAAGGCUUGAACGUUGCAGCAGUUAACACAGAUAAAAUAGAAAACAAGUACUGCAGAACCUACGCUCUCUGGUAACGUAUACUGCUAAACAUUCUUUUCAUGCCAAGAGCUCUUAACAUAGAAACCUAUCAGGUAACACAGCACCGAGUGGGGUCAAAGAGAUGUUCCCCAAAUACAUGAGAACUCACACUCUCAGUCUUCCCUUUCCAAAUGAGCCCCGCUUUCAGGUUGCAUUUGUUGCAAGGAACAGGCUGGAGGAAGGUGAUGGCUGGAGAAGAGCUGAGCUGACAGACCUGUGACCACACGAACCCAAAAGGGGAAGCCUGCAGCUGCACCGCCCAGCACCCAGAGGCUCAGACCGUGAUGAUAGGAAUACACGCAAAAAAAGCAGAAGAGCAGCAGAGGACCCGCAGCAGCCGGGCCGGGGCCGUGCUCGGCCUAUAAUCAUGCCAUCAUGAGAGAGGAGAACAUGCCAUCGUGAGGAGGAGGGCUUCAGUGCACUGAGCAAAGGGGAUGAAAGGGGCUGCAGAAAAACAAGCAGGAAUGGCAGCCACUCUUUGCAUCUUGGCCUUUGCACCAGCCCCCCAUGGUGAUGCAGUGCGUGGGGCUGCAGCAAGGAGCAGGUGCUCUGUGCUUCUGAUGAGCAUUAUGGAACGCUCCCUCGGAGGCUGGGAGCUGCCAAGGCGUGUGCUGAUAGGACAGAUGUUGUUUCGUUACUGUCACCAUGGCAUCCUGCAUGUUUGAAGGGAACAUGUGUUUGUUAAGGAAAAGCAACUGUUACCAAGACGUUCGCUUCUCUCCUUGCCUUGGUUUGGCUGAAGGGCAAAGACAAAGCUCGAGG
ensembl:lncRNA